AUACUUGUCAUUUCACAAGUAUUAUUUAGGCAUAUUUUUCCCGUGGUUGGCUUAUUAUAUAUAGAAGUAGAUUGUUCUCGCCAAUUCAGUGGUGCGGAUAAAAAUGUUUGAUUCUUCUACAUACAUACCAAAAUUUAAUAUUUUUAUAUUAAUUCCCUAAUUUUUCUAAAUUAAUAUAUUUAUCAAUUCGCAGUUUCAGACCGAUACCGGAAGGAUAUGAUAAUAAAAUUUUCAUUUUAUAAAUUUCUUGUACAUUAAUCAAUACUAUGUUCUCUGUUCUUCCACCAAUAACUUCAUGAAAACAUUAACUUUGGCACCUAAGCAAAUCCUACAGAAAUCUGUAGACAACUGGUAAACUAAGAAAAAUCAUUCCAAAGUACAGACUCGAUCUUGGGUUAACAAACACAUAUUAUACAUCGUUUAGCUCAAUAAAUAAAUAGACAAAUAUAAAAACUACUUCAAGUAACUUGCACGUGCUGAACAUCAUCGAUUUUAAGUCUUUUGAGCCCUGAUUUUACAUGGGAAUAAGUAUAAGACAAUAUUGUAAAGAAUACAUAUGCAGAACUGCAUGGAAGAAGGUUAUCACUUUUAACUCGGUUCUUGCGAUUUCAAAAGUUCCACGAUGUGCUGCUUCGUUCCUUUUAUCUUUCUCUUUGUAGAAGCCAGUUUAAUUUUCAUAUUACCUUCUUGGUUAUCUUUUGUACAAGUGGUAUUGCAAGUGUUUUCAGAUUAAAAGCUAAGAGAAAACACCUUUAAAGUUAAAUUCUCAAAUUUUUAAUAUUUAAUCAAUGAUGGACAACAAAAACCAAUAUGAUGAUUAAUUCCUAACAACAAUCUUAUCAUGUCUUUUUAGAAAUAAAAUGAUAUACAGGUAUGGGAAAAAAGACGCAAGAACUACAGGUUAAACUAAUAUAUUUGGGUCAAUGCAUAAUUAUAGGGAAAUCAUUUAUAUGUUAAUGAAUUAAGUAAGAAGUAGAUCUACCUUCAGCAAUUGUGUGCUCUUCUGAUGUUCUCUCGCACACAGUUGGCCGAGUCACAAGGAAUCCCUCGCAGUGGUCACAAAUUAUCUCCCAUUUAAUAGGUGCAAUUUCAUUAAAUGGGUUGCCAGCCUUUGGGUUCUUUUGCCUCAUAUCAGCUGCAUGACCACUGGACACAAAGAGUACAUUGGACAUAUAAAGCUUGUUAGAGAGAUAAAGAUUGAAUGUCAUGAUUUUGCAUAUACUGUAUGAAGUUUGUACAUGUAACAAAUAAUUUUUGUUAGUCUUACAAAUAUCAAGCAAAGUGGGAAUUCCGCAACGAAUAUGUUGGCAUUUCUCGUUGUCCACUUUGAGGCGGGUUUGGUAGAACUACUGUUUUCCCUUGCCAACCUGACAUAAUGAAUUUCAAUAUUUCACGAAUUACAUAUUCUAUGCAUUAAUUAAAAAAUUGACAGAUAUGAGAGUACUUAAAUAUUAAUAUAUGUGCUCUUAGAUAUCACAACAAAUAAAGUUCAUAUGGAAACUUAUAAAAGUAAAUGCACAACAUACAUAUAUAAUUGAUCCCAAUUGCACGAUAGCGCUGAUUCAAAUGGAUCCUCCCUCGAUGUUUUAAUUUAAAUAAGAGGCCAUUUGGAGACAUGCAUUUCAUUUCAAAUGACAAGAUUUAAGUUGUCAUUUCAAACACUCAAAUUUAUACAAAUAUUUGAAUGUCUGGAUUUCAAAUGAAAUCCAAAUCCACAUUCCCAAUCAGAUUAUUUGAUCAAAUCCAAAAUUUCAAAUGAAAUCCAAUUUUCCAAACAGGCCAUAAAUGUAAUCCAACAAGAUACAAUAAAAUCUUAUCAACAAUAUCUGGAUUCUUAAUGACCAUUAAUCGUUCAAUUUCGAGAUUAUGGCUUCCCUUUAUCAUCUCUCCAAUAAGAGAAAGAAUUUUCAUAGAUAGAGAUCGAAAUGUGGUUUAGUUUUUCAAUUACCUUCCAUAUUAUAGUACAAGAAAAAGGGCGCUCAAAACUAACACAAAUCACCCACUUAUGUUAUGACAAAAUAUUCUGAUACAGCUAACCAACACAACCAAGGGCACAAUAUAUCAUAGGGUUAGUUACCAGCAUUCAAAACCCAUCAAUAAAUCUAACCACGUAUAUGUUCAAAACAGACCACAAAAAAUUCCGAUCAAGGACACGAUCUAUCAUCAGCAUAAAGCCGACCACUACCAAUUGUCACAUAUAUGUUCAAAACAGACCACAAUUAAAUGGCAUUUAGCUAGUCCAUUAAACAAGCCUUUCAUUACAAGUAUCAGAAUGUUACCCAAUCAGGCAGAUCAUUGUUUUGUUUUUCUGGAGCAUCUUCUUCAUUGUUUACUGCAAGAAGAAAUCUGAUAAUUAGUGUAUUUCAAAUUAGAUAAAUUAACUAUUAAACAAUCAGAAUUGAGAAAUCUAGGGCUUAAAAACACAACAUAUAUACCUGUUUUUAAACUUCGAAACAGAUAGCAUCACGAAACGAUUCAGCACUUUACACUCAAAUAGAUACAUACACACACGAUUAUCAUAGAUCGUUGCGGCGAUGCCCUAAUCUAGGCGAUGCCCUAAUGUAAUUGAGAAGCUGCCGCCUUAACCUACACGACGAGUGAUUUUAUACCUAAAAAUAAAUUGGGUUAACUAAAAGGCCUGGGCUUUCUUACGAGUAUUGGAUUUUUCCGUGAGUUAUUUUAUAAAAGGUCCAAGUACAUGUCAUACAUAACUCAUGGGCUUUCUUAUGAGUAAUGGACUUUUUCGUGAGUUAUUUUAUAAAGGGUCCAGGUACAUGCUAUACAAUAUACAUAAUUCAGGACCACAGCUUCUUGGCCAUUGGAUCUAGCGAUGAGAAUUAUAACAAAAAUUUGAUAUGUCCGGCGCAAGAAGAAAGACCCUCAACGCUUUUUAACUGUUGGACAGGAAAAAUGACCAUGUCCAUGAUUAAAAAACGCCGGACAUAACUUGUUCCGUGCUUAAAAAAUGCUAUCAUGACUCUUGAAUAUUCAUCGAACGGUCAUAAACCAGUGUGUUGGUUAAGGCUUCCUCGCAUACAUAUGUCAGGGACCAACUCCCUUUAUACAAUGUGUCGGUAGAUAGAGUAGAAAGGCUAGGAUAAAAUAAUGAGAAUUGAGAACAAAUAUGUCAUUGUUAGCUUAGCGUUAAGUGUCCAAAAUUUAUUCCUAUAUUUUUUCUCAAAUCUAUUGGAUAAUGUGCGAUUGAUUACUUAUAUAAUAAUAAAUAUGUAUAUAAAUCACCCAGUUAAAAUCCGUCAUGUGGUUUGGGAAAAAUAAAAUUGAGGACGAAUUUUGAGGUACAUAGUAUUUUUCCAAACAAAAUAUCAUUAUUAAAUCAAUAACAAGGAAUUUUUAUCCUCUUCAUAUCAAGGUUUAUAGCAUAUUUUUAUAAAUUUGCACAUAAUAAUUAUAUAUAUUUUUUAUACUUUUUAUGAAAUAAAAAGAGUCGUGAAUAUUUUUUGUCGAAAAAUAGUAAACGCAGUUAAACACCUCAUCACAAACAGAAAUAUCACAUGAGUACCCGCAAGGGUUAGUUCAGCUGGUUAAAGAGGGGACAUGUAUUCUCUUGGUCACACACUCAUAGGUUCGAGUCCCGAAGGGAGCGGGGUUCCUACGUUAAAAAAUAUAUAAAAUAAAAAAUAAAAAAAAUAUCACAUGAGUCAAUAUCCAUAAAUUAUAGUUAAAUUAUACGCAUUUUAACUAGUCUUAAUAAUUUACAAAAAUUAUUUACAAAUUUAUUAUAUAUCAUAAGAUUGAUCCAAGCCAGUGAAGAUAGUUAAGAUGAUUUUGGUAGUAGGUUGAAUAAUAUCAAAUCAUGUUAAAAAAUAACAUAGAAAAAAUUUACGUAUUCAAUUAUAAAUUUUAAAUAGAAAAUACCCGAAUAUCAUGUACUUCGAACCAUAAUCUAAUUCAGGUAAAUAUUUAUUUGGAUAUAAUUGAUUAUGGAUUAUCAAAAAUCUAGUAUUUCGAUUUUAUUUGGGUUAACUUUCCGAUUCACAUAUUUUUUUUUAUCAAAAUCAAAUCGAUUUUCGAAUUCUAAUCAAAUUUGAUUAUAUUAGAGCAUCUCCAACGACGUUGGUUAUAAUCGCUGGCUAAAUGGGACCUGUAAGACAUUAUGUAAAAUUUGCUAAACCUGUAAGAGCAUCUCCAACCAUCUAAAACCCUUGGCUAAAAAAUGAGUUGGCAUACUUAAAAUAAAAAAAUUUAGCCAACAGCUCCAAAACUCAACUCCAACCAUGCUCACCUGUUGUCUAUAAAUUUAGCCAACCUCCUAUGGAUGGCUAAAUUUGUCGAACCUCUACAGGUCUGUAAGAAAAUCUGUAAGAAGAUUAUACAUCAUUUAUUACCAUAUUGAACUGAUAUAUUAUAUUUUAACAAUUUAAAAUAUUAAUAACAUACUAUUUUUAAAUUAUAGCCAACCAAUAUAGCCAAUACCAUUGUAGCAAAAUGUAUUACAGGUUUAAUAAAUUUUANNNNNNNNNNNNNNNNNNNNNNNNNNNNNNNNNNNNNNNNNNNNNNNNNNNNNNNNNNNNNNNNNNNNNNNNNNNNNNNNNNNNNNNNNNNNNNNNNNNNNNNNNUAAUCGGAUUUGGGCUUCUACCAAACCUAAUCCGAUUUUGGUUUUAAUAUUAAAUUCGAAAUUCUAAUUACUUAAUUAAGACUGGCUCAAUUAAAUAAUUUACUUCGAACUUAAUCAUUUAAUUUAAAUUCAGAAUUUAAAUUAAAACUCCUUUAAACGUUCAAAGUGUGUGACCCUUUAGGUUAUUAUUACGUUGGCAAUAAUUUUAAUAUCCAAUAAUAAAAUUAUAAACAAUGAGCGGCAUCUAGUAAUACAUCAUUGCUACCCAAGUAAUAAUAAUAAUUGGUGAUUCAAUUAAACCUUUUGUGAAUAAUGUACAAUGUAAUAUAAUCCCUUUAACCUUAUAUUAUAGAUCAGACUCAAGGCAUGUAUUGUGUCAUCCUCUUCAUCGUCUAAUCCGAAUUUCCUUGAUCAAUGAGUAGACUAUUAAACAAAUCAAUAUUUGAGCACGGCCAUGCAUUUUAUAGUCUCACUCAAUCAAGAGGCCAAUAAUAUCACUCCUAAAAUAGGAGGGUUAAAUCCUUUAUAGAUCAUUCAUAUUUCUCAUAUGAUUCAUAAUAUACCCAAUGUACAUUUCAUCAUUACCCGGUCAAAGGUAACUUUUAGUGCAACCAAAGUAUAUUAAUUCUCAUAUAGAAAUAUAAUGAUAUCAAGUCAGAGGAUCAUUACAUCAUUAUCACAGUGAGAAUUUCCAAUGACACUUAUUAACAUGUAAAAUCUCACGGUGGGUCAUUCCAGUGCCAUGUGUCGAUACAUGCACUUAUGUUCUUGACUUUAGCAUCACUAUACCUAUGAUCAAUGAGAUGUGAUCAUCAGUCAACAAACAUACUAGUCUUAAUGCAUCAUUAUUGUCCCUUAACAAUAAUACUCGACUAGGGACAUUUAGGAAUAUUGAUAUUAUUCUCAUAAUCUCAUUUCUAAGUCACGUACUUAGAGAUAUAGAAUUACAUAUAAUAUUCCAAGGACAUUUAUUAUGCUUUCAAUUUAUUACGCAGUAAAUAAAGACAUAAUAAAUAUUUAUUCAAUAAUCAAUAUAACAUAAUCCAUAAAUGUCUACGAUAGAACACAAUAGUAUUGUCUCUAGGACACCAAUACUAACAAUUGGUACAGUUAACACAUUAAUAUACAUACGUGCAUAAAUGAAUGUAUAUACAAAUUUCACUAGAAGAUCAUAUCCAUAGUGGCAUCACUCGUUAGCCUGAUAGAUAUCAAUACAAGGACUCGCACAUAUUUGAAAAAACAACUUGUAUCUAAGUUGUACUUCUGAGCAGCUUUGGUAGGGCUGAUUUGCCAAGCUACCUUUCGAAACUUCUUGAUUCCGAAGUUAUAUUUCCCUCGGGCAUUCCAUGACAGCAACAUUCCAAAGACUCGAAGACAGAAAAAAUGCAGACCUUGCAACUGGGAAUCACGGCCUUUAUUAUCUCCGCUGCUGUUAUCGGCCUCUUGAAUUCUUUUUACAGUAUGUCUUACAGUAUUUUUGGGCAACUAAUCAUCGGCAAGAACAAUUUGUGCUCGACAAACACUGAUUUACUGAGAUAUGAUGGUAUCUCUGACACCUGAGAGUUCAAUAUUUGGGAAGUCGGGUAUCAGUUCGAUAAUGAAUACCUUACUAUAGAAUGCGGAACAAACAGUCUUAAUGAUCUGUAAAGACUUAUACCACACUAAAUUGACAGAGCAAAACAUGAACAUUUACAUUACAGUAUGCAGAGUAACAAGGACAGCAUAAAUAUCCAGCAUGCUAAAGUAAAAUAAUCAAAUUUGUGAAAGAAACAAUACGAACUAUGAAGCAAUAAUCCAAUUAUUAGGCAAAGAAACCCAUACAUAAUCUCAUAGUGGAAGACUAUCAACUUAACUAGUCAGUUACAUUUUAUGUGUUCUGGUUCUUCAUGUUCACGUUCGUCUCUUAGUUUUCACUAGUGCUCUUGAUGAUUGUGUGCGAUUCUUGGAUGGUGGCGAUGGAAGUGGUGUAGUGGUGACUUAAUUAGUGCGCGUUGUAAUAUUAGAUUAUUCUGAUUGACUAUUUUUAUUGCGUGAUAUUAGUUUUAGCUUUGUAAUUUUGGAUAUGGUUAGGUUUUAAUGGUAGUAAUUGUAGAAUUUAAUUUUGGUUAUUUUUGAAUGACUAGUUGACUCUUUUAAAUUUGUUCAUUUUUGGAUUUUGACCUUUCUUUAAUUUGAAUUGUUGUGUUUUAUUAAAAGAUUAAUUGAUAGAAUCUUUAUUGCCGAUUAUUGUACUUGAAUUCCAUUAUUAUCAUAAAAGAUGGCUUUAUUGUGCCUUAAUGAGGUAUUACUGCACCAUUAAUAGUUUAUUGGUGUAUACCAAAUUUAUGUUGUGAUUAGCUAAAAUCGUGAUAAAUUUGUUUAUCAAGAUUUUGUUUUGUAUUUGAUUAGAUAUAUCUUAACUAUGCUUUCAGAUUUUAAUUAUAUUUUCUUAUCUAUAUUUUAAAUAUUUAUUGACAUAAUUAUCAGUUAUUUUUUGAUAGGAUUUAUAUUUUAUUAUGUAUAUAACCAAAGAGAUCUAAUUAUCUCUUUGGUGUAGAUUUUUUAAUGAUUUGUUUUACAUAAACUUUUGUUUUUACUUUCCUUAUUCUUUAAAAGUUAUAUUAUAUUCAUAUUUUUAUUUAUGAGUUUGCUAACGCUUUUUCUCUACCUUUUAGAUAGUUUUAUUAUUUUUGUUGUAUGUAUGAACUUAUUAUGUUUUCAUUUGUAUUUUAUUUUUUCAGGGUACGCGAGCGGAAGAUAGAAUGGCGGGACCUCUUAUGGGGUUUUCUUAUCGAAAAUUAAAGUUUUAUUGUCUAAGUGUCUUCGGUCAUCUCUGCAUGUCCGAGGGUUAGAUAUUAAACUUUCUUGAACGAAAAGAACUCCUUGCGGCGGAUUUUGUAUUCUGAUACAAUUCGUUAUACGAGAAAGUAUUUUGUGACAAAAAAAAUAUGUACAUUUGUAUCUCUAGUGUGUUGCCACACGAUACAGCAUUUAUUACUGCUGCCUGUACAAAAUCCAUGCAGUCUUGUAUUAAGAUGAUUACGUGUAUACCAUCAUGGCUACACAAAUAGAAGUCAAACUCAGUGGGAUGGCAGAUGGUCAUAUCUACAACAGUACCUGAUUAUACAUACAAAAGCCAGUUAUUUGCUAAUCAGACUAAUAAAGAUUUUUAAAGAUGCAAUAGAACAAUAUGUAACCAGGUGAUAUGUUGCCACUCCGAUCAGUUGAUUUCCUGUCAUUGUAAAUAAUUUGAUUGCAGCGCCUGGCAGACCUUAAAAACAGAUAUAUCUUCCCAUUCAUCAAACUUCAACCAUAGGGGUAACAAGUGAAGUUACGAUCACAAUCACGAUACACAACAAAAGAGAAAUCAAGACGGGGCGUUGUAAUUGGAUCAGCGCUUUGUCUUGCUCGCGCAGAUUGUCGUACUCGUGCUUUGGCAUAAAGGCUUGCCGGAGAGCGUUGUUGAAUAACGCCAUGGAUAUGUGUUGUUUGAUUUGGGGAUUAGGGUUCGGAGAUGACAAGUUAAUUGACUGUCAUGUACUCCCUCCGUCCCAAUGAAUUGUAUACAGUUUCCUUUUUGGACGUCCCACCAAUUGUAUACAUUCCAAAAGUAGUAAACUUUUAUAAUAUAAAACAUCAUUACACCAACUACUUUCUUCCACCGUCUUCAUUCUAUAAUAAUAUAAACACUAUUACACCCACUACUUUUCUUCACUAUCUCAAAUCUAUAAUUAAAUAUAAAUGGGUCUCAUCACUAUACUCACUUUUCACAUAACUUUACUCAUUUUUUACCUUUUUUCCAGAUCUCCGUGUCCCUGGGACGGAGGGAGUACUUAGAACAAGUCAUGUGGUUGAUGUACCCAGUGCAGGCAUAAAAUAAUCUGAAACCGAUUUAGUCCGGUCAUAAAUAAAUCUAAAACCGACUUAAUCACGCGCAUAAAUUAAUCGGGAAUAAUAUAAAGGUCCAAAACGAAUAAUAUUAAUAUUGUUUAUUAUUCUCCAAAUUUUAGUUAAUUUAUUAUUUUUGAGAGAUAAUUCUGUAUGUAUUUUUAAUUUUUAUAAAAUAUAAUUUCAUAAAUAAUUUGAUGGAAAAAUUUCUAGAUAUAAUUAAAAUUUUAAUUUCAACUAAAAUAGGAAAAUGACAAAAUGAGUCAUGAAAUUAUAUUUUAUAAAAAUUUAAAAUAUAAAUAAGGAAAUUCUUACAAAAUUAUAAACAUAUAUAUAUAUAUAUANNNNNNNNNNNNNNNNNNNNNNNNNNNNNNNNNNNNNNNNNNNNNNNNNNNNNNNNNNNNNNNNNNNNNNNNNNNNNNNNNNNNNNNNNNNNNNNNNNNNNNNNNNNNNNNNNNNNNNNNNNNNNNNNNNNNNNNNNNNNNNNNNNNNNNNNNNNNNNNNNNNNNNNNNNNNNNNNNNNNNNNNNNNNNNNNNNNNNNNNNNNNNNNNNNNNNNNNNNNNNNNNNNNNNNNNNNNNNNNNNNNNNNNNNNNNNNNNNNNNNNNNNNNNNNNNNNNNNNNNNNNNNNNNNNNNNNNNNNNNNNNNNNNNNAUUGUUUUUGUUUAAACUCUAAUCAAUUUGAUUUUGUUUGUUUAAACUCUAAUCAAUUUGUUUCGUGACAAAUUCAUAUGUCGCAUUCUAGCUUUCUCAUCGGUAUUACAUUCAAUCAUACAGAUUAUUACAAACAUCGUUAAGAUAUUCUAUAUUAUGAAUUAUAUAUUUUGAACAAGCAUCGUUAAGAUUUUCAUCUAUAUUUUUUAUUUUCUUAAAAUUAAUAUAUUUAACUAAUCAUCACUUGCUUGUACAUUCAUCUAACAAUAAAAUGUUUUAUGUUCUUCCAUCACUAAGAUCACAAAAACAUCCAACUUCGGCACCUAAACAAAUGUAAUAUAACCCGGAAGAAAAUUGGUAAAUUAUGAACCACUGUUCCAAAAUGCAGAAUCCUGUUUUAACACACACAAGCUUAUUAUAUACAUUAUACAGGUCAAUAAAUAAACAGACAAAUACUAGAAAUACUUCAAGUAACUUAACGGUUACUUGAACAUCAUCUAUUUUAAGUCUUUUGAGCCCUGAUCUUACAUAGGAAUAGCGGGCCUUAGAAAAUUGUUUUUCAUCAUUUUAGCGGGCCUUAGAAAAUUGUUUUUCAUCAUUUUGGAGCAUCAUCUUCAUUGUUUACUGCAAAUCAUCUUCUUUGUUUACUGCAAAGAAGAAUGUGAAAAUCAAUGACUUUCAUACUAGAAAAUUUAAUAAAUUUCAAGCACAUUAUAACUUAACUAUAAGCAUACCUUCACCAUUUAUGAGCCAUCCGUCUCCCGGAUAUUAUUAAACAAAACAAUCUUUACGUGAAUAAGAUUGUAUUGAGUUUGCUUUAUGGCAGGGUCCAAUCUUUACGUGAAUAAGAUUGUAUUGAGUUUGCUUUAUGGCAGGGGCGGCUAGGAGCUUAGCACAAAAUUCUAGCCACCUACAUAGAGCUCGCUGAGGGAAGAUGGAUUGUGCUUUGGAACAAGGUCGGAAAUGCCUAGAGGUGGUGCCAGCCUCUAGGUUCUUUUACCUCAUCAGCUGCAUAAACACAAACACUGGACACAGGGCACAGUGGACAUAUAAUAUAUCUUAGACAAAUAAGGACGGAAAUUUCAUAAUUUUGCAUAUAUUGUAGGAAGUGUACAUAUAAAAAUCAAUUUUGUUGUUAUACAAAAAUCAAGCGAUGGGUGAGGAAUACCAUCUCGAGAAAUGUUGGCAUUUCUCUUUGUCCACUUGGUGCCAAUUUUGGUAUAAUUAAUUUUAUUCCUUGCCGACCUGACAUAAUAAAUUUCAACAUUUCAUGAAUUACAUAUUCUACGCAUUAAUUAAAAAAAUUAACAAUUAUGAGACUACUUCAAACUAAUUUAUAUCCUUUCAGAUAUCACUAUAAAUAAAGUUCAUACAGAAACCUAUAAACGUAAAUGCACAGGCUACAUACAUAAUUUAUCACAAAUUGCAAGAUAGUGCCGCUUAGAUGCAUCCUCUAACAGUGUUUUGAAUUAAAUAAAUGUGAUUCAACAAGAUAUAACACAAUAGUAUAAACAAAAUCUGAAUUCUUAAUGCCCAUCCAUUGUUAAAUUUCGAGACUGUGUGGUUUCCCUUUAUCCUCUCUGUCCAACAAGCAAUGAUCUCUUAUAACAAUAGAAAGCUAAAGUAUUUCCAUAGACAUACAGAAAUCAGAAAGUAGUUUACUUUUCUAAUUAACUUCUACACUAUACUACAAGAAAAAGGGUGCUCAAAACAAACACAAAAUAUUCCGAUACAGUUUACCAACACAAUCACGAUAUGUUCAAAACAGACCACAAUUACCACAGGUCGUUCAAAACUAAUCACAAAUUACCCUUAUCCAGUGACAAAAUAUUCCGAUACAGCCAACCAACACAAUCAAGGGCACGGUCAAUCAUAAAAUAUUCCGAUACAGCUAACCAACACAAUCAAGGGCACGAUCUACCAGUUAUCGCAUAUAUGUUCAAAAGAGACUACAAUUAAAUGAGAUUUAGCUAGUCAAUUAAACAAGCCUUUCAUUGCAGAUCAGAAUUUUACCCACUGAGGCAGCAAUAGAACAAAGUUUUGUUUUUCUGGAGCAUCUUCUUCAUUGUUUACUGCAACAAAAAAAGCGAUAAUUAGCGAGUUUCUAAUCAGAUAAAUUAGCUAUAAAACAAUCGGAAUUGAGAAAUCUAAGGCUUAAAAACACGAUACAUAUACCUGUUUUUGGGCGUCGAAAAGAAUAACAUAACGAUUUUGAAACAUCGAUCCAGCGAUUCAGCACUGAAUUAAGAAUACACUCGGCGUGCCCUAGUCUAAUUGGGAAGCCGCCGCCUUAACCUGCACGAGGAGUUUACAGGUGAUUUUAUUCCUAAAACAUAUGGGCUAGGGUUUCUUAUGAAUAAUCUGAAUGGGCUUUUUUUAAGUGAUGGGCUAGAGUUUAAUCUGAAUAAUCGGAAUGGGCUUUUUUUAAGUGAUGGACUGUUAUUGUGAUUGUUCAUAAACACGUUUGACAGUUUUUAUUUUGAAUCAGAUUAGAUGAUGGUGAAAAGCUCGGUGGCGAUAUAUACUGAUUUUCUUCACUAAAUCAUGGAUCAAGUUCUCCGUAGUUUAAAAUUUUUAAAAAUGUUGAAAGUUUUGAUAUUUAAGCAAAUUUAUUUUAAAAUAUAUGAUAAUAAAUCCAUUUAUAAAAAAAAUAAUAAAUUUAAAUUUAAUAUUAAAAUAUGUAUCAUAUUAUAAAAAAAUAUUAAACAAAAAUAAAUAAAAUCCAUCAAUUAUAGGUAUAAGGUUUGAAAAAGAUAUAAUUUAUUUUUAAAUAUUAAAUAUAUGUCUGCUAAAUUUUAUUUUGUAUAAUAAUAUUAAUUAUUUAGCAUGCAAUUUAUAUCAAAAUAUAAUAAUCGAAAAUAUGGAUAUUUUGUAGUUUGAAUCACUUUUCACUAAAUUUCAUAUCAAAGUUUUUGAUAUACAUUUUUUCAAAAAAAAUAUGAUCAUAGUCUCGGAAAAAAAAGUAAGUCUUUUCCUAUAUCAAAAUAUUUUAAAUGAAUUUUUAAAUUCUAAUUUGAUAUUUAUUAAUGUAGGCAGUUUUUAUUUUUGAUAUAUUGAAAAAAUUAGUUUUGAAAUUUUCCUCCAAUAUAUCCGAAACUCAAAAAAGGUAAUUUUUAUUUUUGAUAUUUUCAAAAUUAAAAAUAUAAUUCGAAACUUUCUUCCAAUAAUUUUGAUACAGAAAAAGGUAGGUAGAUUUUAUUUUUGAUAUACUGAAAAUGAUAGUUCUAAAAUUUGCUUCUAAUAUACCCGAAACUAAAAAAGUAGUUUUUAUUUUUGAUAUUUUUCAUCCAAAAAUUUCAGAAAAUUGGAGGAAAAAAAGUAAGUUUUUUUUUCGAUAUCAAAAUAAUCGAAAAGAAAUUUCAAAUUCUGAUUUGAUAUUUAUUAAGUUAGUUAGUUUUUAUUUUUGAUAUAUAGAAAAAUGAGGUUUUGAAACUUUCCUUCAAUAUCCGAAAUUGAAAAUGGUGAUUUUUAUAAAAAAAAAGUAAUGUAGAUAGGUAGAUUUUAUUUUUGAUAUUUUGAAAAAGAUAGUUCUAAAUUUACUUCAUCGCGUAAUAUAUUAUUUAUGUUCCAAUAGGCAUAAUCACAAAUUCUGCUCACUCGAAGUCGAGUCCAACCCGUGACCAAGGAUACAAGUCUUCGCUUUUAACCUAGUUGAACCAACCCUUUCCGGCAAAAUAUGUAUUUGAUAUGGGGCUAAAAAUGCAAAAACCGAAACGAAAAUGAGAUAUAUUUGAGGCAUAUGGUCGAAAAGCUUGAACAUGUUUGUAAGUUUUCUAAAUUAGGGUGAGACUCUUUUAUAUAUUUCUAAAUUAUAAAAAAUCGUGUUUUUCAACCCCCCCUUUUUGGGACACAGUUUAAACUUUAAACCUCAUUAUCUUUGUAUCACCAUCAAAAUGAGAUCAUUCAUCUUUUUAUAACCGUCAUAAUUAACUUUGGAAGAUAUAAAGUUCUCAUAUUGACUUGCAUAGGAAACUGGAAGCUCAUACUAAUAUCAAUAAAUCUUCGCGUACAUCCUUAUGCACUACUAAUUCACUACCUAUAAUUUAGGAAUAGUUCUAACUUAUACCCACGGCUAAGUCUUCAGGAUUUCUUAUCACUUCAGGUUAACUGUAAAUUAAAAAUACACUUACAAAAAUUAUAACCUAAAUCUUUUUUUUUUCUAUUUUAUUUAUUUAAUUUAUUAUCACAUAUUUCACUUUUAUUAUAUAACCUUUAUAUAAUUUAAUGAGCCUAAUAUAUCUAUAAAAUAACUAAUAUAUAUUCUUUAUUAUAAAAUUUUAAAGUAAUAUAUUCUUCAUACUAAUAUAUUCUUUUACAUUUGUAAAAUUUGACAUUCUUUAUUAUAAAAUUUUAAAAGUAAUAUUAAUUACAUAUACGUCAAGUGAGUAGCAUGUAAACAAUGAAUUUUUUUUACAAAGUGCUGAAUCGAUCCUCUGUCAUCACACAAACGUAUUAUAUACAUUAUAUAGGUAAAUAAAUAAACAGACAAAUAUAAAAACUACUUGAGUAACUUAGAUUUUAAGUCUUUUGAGCAUUGAUGUUACAUAGAAAUAAGAAUAAGACAAUAUGGUAAGGAAUACAUUGGUAGGUUAAACUACUUGGAAAAAAUCAUCUACGUUGCCAGCUUUUAACUUAGUUCUUGCAAUUUCAAAAGUUCCCGAUAUGUCGCGUUGUUUUAUCUUCAACGAAAUAACCAAGUAGACAAGCAGUAGCUUCUUAAUAGCAGAUAAGUAGCAGAUUAGCCAGCCUUAGAUAACUGUUUUCCAUCUUUUUGGAGCAUCAUCUUCAUUGUUUACUGCAAGAAAAAAUUUGAAAACCAGUGAAUUGAAUACUAGAAAACUUAAUAGAUUUUCAAGUACAUUAUAACUAUAUAACAAGCAUACCUUCACCAUCUCUGAGCCAUACGUAUCCCGGAUAUUAAACAAGAGAUAAUCUUCACGUGAAAAAAGAUUGUACUGAGUUUGUUUUACAAUACCUCAAAGUGUGUACGAAAACCUACCUUUAAAAAGAAGCAAAGAUAUAUCAAAACUAAUAACUUUCAACCAAACUAUACAAUAUACAAUAUAGUACGACAGAGAGUUUAAUACUUCCUCUGUCCCGGUUACAUUUUAACCGAUGUUUGACUUUUUAACACGUAUAUUGAGAUGCAAAAAAAUAAUAUCUACACUGAAUAAAAAAAAAUUCAAUUCUUAUACCAAAUAAUAGUUUAGAUUCUAAACGUUUAAUUUAUAUGUAUUUUAUAAAGAAUUAUUAUGUUUAGAUGUGAUUUUCUUAACACCUUAAAAUACAUGUAAAAAAGUCUAAAGCAGUUAAAAUGAGACGGAGAGAGCAUAUAGAACAAGAUAUUUGUGUGCACAUAAAGUCUCUUACCUCAACAAUAUUUCCUCUAGGAAGGCCGACACCCAAUGCAAUGUCCAAUGUCAGACAUGCCAACAAGUUAGAAUCUCCAGCAUGCACCAUUCCAAAUAACUAAAAUAAGAGCAAAAUUAUAGACUUCAAACAACUAAUUAACGACCAAAAAAUUAUGGCUAGGAACAGGAUACAGUAAACAGAAUACACAAAAUAACAAGUAUAUAUCACAUUUCCACAAUGACAAUUAACAUAAGCUGAUAACAUUACCGUAAAAAAACACAUAAAACCCUUCCCACCACUAAUACACUUCUUCUAUCCCUGUCAAACAACACCUCAAAUGUUCUUCGCAUAUAAUUCCUACGUUUUUUGCUAUAAAUUACCCUACAGCACAACGAAGAUGCCCAGCCUGUGAUCGCAUAAUUGGGACCGUGUAUUGGGACGAGGAUGAAAAGAACAUCAUCGGUGUGUAUCGGUUUCUUUCAGACAAAAGUGGAAGCGUUAAACUCCUUUAAUAGGUCUUAGCAGAAAUGUAAUUAAAAAAUAACUGGGGUAUGCUUGUCAUUUCACAAGUACUAUUUAGGUAUAUUUUUCCCGUGGUUGGCUUAUUAUAUAUAGUAGUAGAUUGUUCUCGCCAAUUGAGUGGUGCGGAUAAAAAUGUUUGAUACUUCUACAGACAUACCAAAAUUUAAUAUUUUUAUAUUAAUUCCCUAAUUUUUCUAAAUUAAUAUAUUUAUCAAUUCGCAGUUUCAGACCGAUACCGGAAGGAUAUGAUAAUAAAAUUUUCAUUUUAUAAAUUUCUUGUACAUUAAUCAAUAAUAUGUUCUCUGUUCUUCCACCAAUAACUUCACGAAAACCUUAACUUUGGCACCUAAGCAAAUCCUACAAAAUCGGUAGAAAAUUGGUAAACUAAGAAAAAUCAUUCCAAAGUACAGACUCGAUCUUGGGUUAACAAACACGUAUUAUAUACAUCGUUUAGCUCAAUAAAUAAAUAGACAAAUAUAAAAACUACUUCAAGUAACUUGCACGUGCUGAACAUCAUCGAUUUUAAGUCUUUUGAGCCCUGAUUUUACAUGGGAAUAAGUAUAAGACAAUAUUGUAAAGAAUACAUAUGCAGAACUGCAUGGAAGAAGGUUAUCACUUUUAACUCGGUUCUUGCGAUUUCAAAAGUUCCACGAUGUGCUGCUUCGUUCCUUUUAUCUUUCUCUUUGUAGAAGCCAGUUUAAUUUUCAUAUUACCUUCUUGGUUAUCUUUUGUACAAGUGGUAUUGCAAGUGUUUUCA
rnacentral:lncRNA from 1 species